CAUGCCGGAGGUACAGCCAGGAGCCCCACCAAACCACCCGGGGAGGAGAUAAACAGCUCUCAGAUUAGGACGCUGUAAAUGUUCAGCUGCGACCUGACUGCUCCUGACUCCUGGCUACACUGAAAAAAGGUAGCAACUUGCCAACCACAAGGAAGCCCCGCCCUAAAUCCUCCUCUGCUUUAUGGUCUAUUUCACUCUCAAUGGGACCAUCAUUUAUUAAAUAAACAUCACGCUGCAUUGAAGAAGACUUCAAACCAAUGAUUGAGACCAUGAACUCAUUAUGAGUUUUUUUUAACAUAUUUUGACAGUAGAUAAUAUUUAUUUAAAAAACAGUUAAACCCCAAGUUGAGCAAAAAUCAGCAAGAUUCACGUAAGCAUUAUGAUUACGGCCAAGAAUUAUGUUGAUGUGCUGUACGUCCCCCUGUCCAGUUUUAUUAAAUACACCUGUGUUCACAUGCAGCUGAAAUUAAAGCUCCGCCCUAAAUCUU